GGGCGGUGCCCGGAGGAGCCGGGAGCCGAGCUUCGGUCGCGCCGGCGAAGCUCGGACUUGUCGUUCUUACCUGUGACUUGACCAGCGAGUCAGCUGGAAUUGAGUGACUGUGAUGGGCGCUGCUUUCGCAGGAAAGGGGAGCCCGUAGACGCGGUGAAGGCCACGCUCUCCGGCCGUUCGCCGAGCGCCGGCGUGAGGAGGCGGCUGCCUGCGCUGGGGACAGCGGAGCGCAGGCGGACUCCAGGAUGCUGCUCAGCUCCUCAGGAAUGCCAUAUCCCUUUUGGCAGCCUGGCACUCUGGAUUUUAUACCCUCCUUAAAGGGAGGAUGGCAAGAAGAUGAAGCCAGGCUCUUCUCAGUGAUGCCCAGCAAUAGGAAAAGAGGAACCAGCUUCUCCUGGGGAGGGGGAUGCCUGGGUAAGAGGCUCAGAGACCAUCCUGACAUCACUGCAAUCGUGAUUUCACCAGGAUACUGUACUGCAAGGAUCAUCCGAUGCUUUCUUCAUAAAUGGGACUAUCACCUGCAAUUCAGUGUGUGAAAAAUGUGAUUGACCUUCCCUAUUUCCUCAGAGAGCAACUAUGGCUCAGAAUGAAAUGCUGCCUUUGGAAUUAACCCAUCUGUAAUGGCAAGGAUCAUCUCCAAGCCCAUCAUUUCUGAAAUGCUUUUUUACUGGUGAAGGGGCAGUCUUCCGGGGCAAGUCCCUGAGCAGUGUCUUCUGGGCAAAAGACUAUGGUGAGGUCUGCCAGCACCCAGCCUGGGACAGAAGUCCACAGCAGCGGAGCCAGAGCUCUGAGGAGGCACUGCAGGUUCCCUCCCCGAUCCAGUCAAAAGAACCUGAUCUGCUCUGAAAGCCAGGAUUUUCUUCCAGAAUAUCAAGGGUCUGGUUCUUUUGGGCCCAACUGCAAAUCCAGGAGCCUUUGUCUGUAUUCUACAGAGCUCUGUCACUGCAAACAGACUCCUUUGGUUUCCAAGUAAGUCAAGCCCAGGACUUGUCCUGUGUUCUCUCCCUUUAUAUUUGUAUUACUGUUCCAUUACAUACAGCAGGGUGCUUCAGAGAGGAGAUGAAAAGAAGCUUGGAAGUUUGCCUCUAUAAAUGUGUGAAUUUAUUUUUAAACCUCUUGAAUUAUUUACUUUGUCUGCCUUUUUCAAUGACAGGUGAAUAUGUUUGUGACUUGUUCUCUUUCCCAAGGAAGCACUUGGUUGAAGUGAAUUAAUUACGUGUAGAGUAAAUGCAGCUGAUGUUAAUUUUCAAGUCAAGUUUUAGCUUUGCUGAAAUUUCAGAAAGAAAGUAGUGUUUUAUAAAUUAAAUGCUGCUUUGUGUGCUUUCUUUUUAAAGAAGGCUUGGCAUCUGGAAAGAAAGCAGGGAGAGAAAACAAACAUACUAAAUGAUGGAAACUCGUCUUUAAGGAUAUACUCCAUCAGCUAUCAGUACACAACUGUGAGAGAUCCAUGUGGCAGCUCAUCAACAGUAUAUUGAGGCUCCAGCAGCACCCCAACACCUUUGGCAGGAAUUGGUUUCAGUGGCAAAUUGCUGGUCUCUGGCAGGAGCUGCUGCUUUGACCUGACAGGGUGAUUAGAUUGGUUGCUCCUCUCUGUAACAGUACAUGCCAUGUGCUCUACCAGGAGAACCUCAUUCUUCUUCAGAGUGGUGUAGAUUCUGAUCCCAUGAGAGCUGAACUGACAGGAUCCUGGGCUGCCAGGCAUUGCCAGUGGGAUAGAUGAACCCUAGUUUCCCUUUGCUGUUCCAUCUGAGGCUCUAGUGAGCUUUUCAGAUCCUCUCUCCAGAAGGUUGGGCUGAUCUUAGAAUAACUCCUGUGGUGUGAGUUGUCUUGGGAGCACAGCACUUAGCUGGAUUGGUGCAGUGUGUUGAGACAGUGGCUCUGGAUCUGGCUGGACUCUCCUGAGGCAGGAGAUGCCCUGCAGGUCCCCAGCAGACAGGCCAGUUGUUAGAACAAUGAUUGUGGCAGAUGCUUGCCACCCUCAGGCAGCUAACAUAGAAAGGGUCAUCAUUAAUUUAACUCUGUAUCCAUCAAGCCUAGUUUCUGUCCCUGGAAUGACAACUCAUAUGUGAUGCUUUGCAAGAAAGCAGUUCCAGCUAGCCUCCACUGCUGCUGACAGGCAGUGGUGCUCUGUGCAUCUUAGCGGAGAGCUUAUCUGUUAUUAAACAUUCUCUUUUGAUUUUUUCGGGCUGCAGUAUUUACUGUCCGAGUUCUUAGGUCCCAGAUUCCCAGCUAUUGUGCUUAAAUUUGAUGGAGAUGACCCUGGGAGCAGAGGGAGAAGCUCCGUUGGGCUGAAACACUGAG